AACUGAUGCAUUUGACUUUAUUAUGACGUUAGUUAUCAAACGCAGUCCCCUUGCAAUCAACCGCUUACUAUGAUGGGGAGUAGGAUUGUAAUGCAAAAUCUUUCAUCUACACUGAGAAUGAUUGAUGUCACACAGGUGACAAUUUGUCAAGCAUAAAAUAAACAACAAAAAUGAACGCACUUUUUCCACCGUCCACCAAGGACACACCCACCAGAGUGGAGCUGUUUGGUAUGGGAACAGCCGAUCGCGACAGAUCUGAUCGGGUUUUUUUAUCGUUUUAUCGUGACACUUGCGGUAUAAAAUUGAUUGCCGAAUAUGCGUGAAAGCUAGUGAAAUCUAAUGAUCAUUCGUUUGCUGCUUUUUUGUUUGGCCUAUAUUGACCGUUGGCCACUCGUACUCUCAUCGACGAAGGUCACACAACAACACUCC